rnacentral:rRNA from 1 species
ACGGAAGGCAGCAGUGGGGAAUAUUGCACAAUGGGGGAAACCCUGAUGCAGCGACGCCGCGUGAGUGAAGAAGUAUUUCGGUAUGUAAAGCUCUAUCAGCAGGGAAGAAAAUGACGGUACCUGACUAAGAAGCCCCGGCUAACUACGUGCCAGCAGCCGCGGUAAUACGUAGGGGGCAAGCGUUAUCCGGAUUUACUGGGUGUAAAGGGAGCGUAGACGGCGAUGCAAGUCUGAUGUGAAAGCCCGGGGCUCAACCCCGGCACUGCAUUGGAAACUGUGUUGCUAGAGUGCAGGAGAGGUAAGUGGAAUUCCUAGUGUAGCGGUGAAAUGCGUAGAUAUUAGGAGGAACACCAGUGGCGAAGGCGGCUUACUGGGCCUUAACUGACGCUGAGGCUCGAAAGUGUGGGGAGCAAACAGGAUUAGAUACCCUGGUA